AGUCGAGGGGUAUUAGUUUUCGGACUAAGAGACCGGCGCACGGGUGCGUAACGCGUAUGCAAUCUACCUUUCACAAAGGGAUAGCCCAGAGAAAUUUGGAUUAAUACCUUAUAGUAUAGCGACUUCGCAUGGAGAUGCUAUUAAAGAUUUAUCGGUGAAAGAUGAGCAUGCGUCCCAUUAGCUAGUUGGUAAGGUAACGGCUUACCAAGGCUACGAUGGGUAGGGGUCCUGAGAGGGAGAUCCCCCACACUGGUACUGAGACACGGACCAGACUCCUACGGGAGGCAGCAGUGAGGAAUAUUGGUCAAUGGGCGCAAGCCUGAACCAGCCAUGCCGCGUGCAGGAUGACGGUCCUAUGGAUUGUAAACUGCUUUUGUACAGGAAGAAACACUCCCUCGUGAGGGAGCUUGACGGUACUGUAAGAAUAAGGAUCGGCUAACUCCGUGCCAGCAGCCGCGGUAAUACGGAGGAUCCAAGCGUUAUCCGGAAUCAUUGGGUUUAAAGGGUCCGUAGGCGGCUUAAUAAGUCAGUGGUGAAAGCCCUACGCUUAACGUAGGAACGGCCAUUGAUACUGUUAGGCUUGAAUUAUUAGGAAGUAACUAGAAUAUGUAGUGUAGCGGUGAAAUGCUUAGAGAUUACAUGGAAUACCAAUUGCGAAGGCAGGUUACUACUAAUGGAUUGACGCUGAUGGACGAAAGCGUGGGUAGCGAACAGGAUUAGAUACCCUGGUAGUCCACGCCGUANACGAUGGAUACUAGCUGUUGGAAGCAAUUUCAGUGGCUAAGCGAAAGUGAUAAGUAUCCCACCUGGGGAGUACGUUCGCAAGAAUGAAA
rnacentral:rRNA from 1 species